rnacentral:rRNA from 1 species
UACCAGCUCUCCGAGUGGUAGGGAUGAUUAUUGGGCUUAAAGCGUCCGUAGCCGGCUUAGCAAGUCUCCUGUUAAAUUCAGCGACCUAAUCGUUGAGCCGCGGGAGAUACUACUAGCUAGGAGGCGGGAGAGGUCGACGGUACUUCUGGGGUAGGGGUGAAAUCCUAUAAUCCCGGGAGGACCACCAGUGGCGAAGGCUGUCGACUAGAACGCGCUCGACGGUGAGGGACGAAAGCUGGGGGAGCGAACCGGAUUAGAUACCCGGGUAGUCCCAGCUGUAAACGAUGCGGGCUAGGUGUUGGGGUGGCUACGUGCCACUUCAGUGCCGCAGGGAAGCCAUUAAGCCCGCCGCCUGGGGAGUACGGCCGCAAGGCUGAAACUUAAAGGAAUAGGCGGGGGAGCACCACAAGGCGUGAAGCUCGCGGUUC